ensembl:lncRNA
GGGCAGGGCUUUAUCAAGCGGAUGUUCAGUGGUGAGAGAUGGAAGGGAAAACAAAGGUUGGGCAGUGGCAAAUUAAGCAAACCUGGGGAACAAACUGGAAGGUCUGGGAGCACUGAUAGGUGCGUUGGGGAGCUCCUGCUCACUGCUUUUUCUUCUCCUACAUGGCACGGUGAGCCUUUCUAAUAGACAUGUUGUUUUGAAGACCUGACGGAUGAAAAUGUCGGCUGGAAUUGCACAUAAUAAAGCCAGCUUUGAUCCAUGGAAAGGUCAGGUGAGAAAUGGCAAAUAUACUCUCUACAGAAAGUGCGUGCAGACACGGCUUUGAAUGAAGCCUGCACUAGGCUGUUUAGUCAUUGCGCUGCUCUGCAAUAGGCGCACAGGAACGCGUGGGACUUUUCUAAAGAAGCACCGUAUGCCCUCUGCAGACCCAAUUUUGGUCCAUACUGCCUUUAUUGGACUGUUUCCUUCUGCGGAGGAAUGUAUGUGUGAUCACUGUGUGGCCAGGCAGUGCUGCUGGCACAGAGGGAUGCUGGAAGCUGCGACACCUUGUGUUGCUCACAGAAAACCCAUCUGACAGCGCAGAAGAUAUUCAAGGAUAUUUCAAGAGGCAAUUAGCAUCUGCGCACUGAAUGCUCUCAUGUGGAUAAUCUUUUGGAACAUUCAGCAGGGCUUUCAGCUGUUUGCUUCUAGACUUGGGAAUUACAUUCAAUUACAUUCACUGCAUACUGCCAAGGAGGGACAGCAAAAACAAGGUGACAAAGGCACCUCACCCCGUGCACAUACCUGCACCGAAGGCCUCUCUCCUGAAUUUAACUGUCUGUAUGUGGCUUCACUGUGUGCAGCACCUCUACACACUGUGCCCAUUGCAGAGCCUUGUGUGCCUCAGCCACGUUGGCUCGGCAGGGCACCAACUGUGCCUGGUUUUCCAAUGUUUUGCAGAAUCAAAGGUGCAGCAGUUGAAGUCCAGGAGGCCUGAGCGCCUAAGAAGGGGUUAGCUAUGAUUUGUGUACCAGAAUUGGACCCUGCUCGCUUCAGUGAAGGUGAAAUGAGCUGAUGUAACAGCUCACAGACGGCUUAUGGCCUCAGCAGGGAAUGGCUUUGCACAUGUUCCCUCUGCAGCGGUGACAUUUACGUUCAGCUGGCUCUACCUGGCGUGGCAGCAGGGAUAUCUGACAGCACAAAGACAAAGUCAGAGGAAACCAAGCACAAACUAACUGCUUACGCUAUGUCCUAUUGCAUGAUUAUAUUGAGAUGCUCUGCACAAACUUUUCUCAAAAUGUUUCUUUCAUAUGGAAGGUGUGGACCUUUGUUUUGCUAAAUAUGGAACGAGAGCUGCUGAUUUCUGCAUUUAAUUCUCGGUACAGUCGCAGUAUCCUAGAAAAUACCUUCUCUCUUCUCCUGCCUUACACGUGGCUCUCACCAGCUCAGCCCACACGGGAUCAUCUGAGAGAGCUCGGUGCCCUCUGCUGAGCUCGAAUGCACAGGCAGCAAGCAGGAAAGAAAAAGUCAUUGAGCAUCUACUGAACCUCACAUGCCCUGCCUUCAUCGGCACCUUCUUCUUGUCCCAUAACUGGGAUAUUUGUAAAGUUAUUCUCCCCGAGCCUGCAUUCCUUCCAGGGAUUUGAUAAGCCCUCCUAGGAUAAAGGCCAGGCUGGAUGUGGCUCUGGGCAGCCUGGUCUGGUUGGUGACCCUACACAUAGUAGGGGGGUUGAAACUCGAUGAUCAUUGUGGUCCUUUUCAACCCAGGCCAUUCUAUGAUUCUAUGAUUCUAUGAUAAAGGAGGUGUUCUCUGAAGUCCAGCCACGGAGAGCAGUUGUCUUUUCUCGAAACAGAAUUUGCUCUUGAAGAAAAACAAUUAAAUAAGGUUUGAUUUGCAGAUCCCACAGCUUUUUUAUAAUCACCAUAGAAAAUACGUGGCAAAUAUCUUC